rnacentral:rRNA from 1 species
AUGCACGCUGGCGGCGUGCCUAAUACAUGCAAGUCGAGCGAACAGAUCAGGAGCUUGCUCCUUUGACGUUAGCGGCGGACGGGUGAGUAACACGUGGGUAACCUACCUAUAAGACUGGGAUAACUUCGGGAAACCGGAGCUAAUACCGGAUAACAUUUGGAACCGCAUGGUUCUAAAGUGAAAGAUGGUUUUGCUAUCACUUAUAGAUGGACCCGCGCCGUAUUAGCUAGUUGGUAAGGUAACGGCUUACCAAGGCAACGAUACGUAGCCGACCUGAGAGGGUGAUCGGCCACACUGGAACUGAGACACGGUCCAGACUCCUACGGGAGGCAGCAGUAGGGAAUCUUCCGCAAUGGGCGAAAGCCUGACGGAGCAACGCCGCGUGAGUGAUGAAGGGUUUCGGCUCGUAAAACUCUGUUAUUAGGGAAGAACAAAUGUGUAAGUAACUGUGCACGUCUUGACGGUACCUAAUCAGAAAGCCACGGCUAACUACGUG